GACGAACGCUGGCGGCGUGCUUAACACAUGCAAGUCGAACGGAAAGGCCCCUUUGGGGGUACUCGAGUGGCGAACGGGUGAGUAACACGUGAGUAACCUGCCCUUGACUUCGGGAUAACUUCAGGAAACUGGGGCUAAUACCGGAUAGGAAUCCUUGCUACAUGGUGGGGGUUGGAAAGCUUCGGCGGUUUUGGAUGGACUCGCGGCUUAUCAGCUUGUUGGUGGGGUAGUGGCUUACCAAGGCUUUGACGGGUAGCCGGCCUGAGAGGGCGACCGGCCACAUUGGGACUGAGAUACGGCCCAGACUCCGACGGGAGGAAGCAGUGGGGAAUAUUGCACAAUGGGCGGAAGCCUGAUGCAGCAACGCCGCGUGCGGGAUGACGGCCUUCGGGUUGUAAACCGCUUUCAGCAGGGGCGAAGCUUGUGGUGACGGUACCUGCAGAAGAAGCACCGGCUAACUACGUG
rnacentral:rRNA from 1 species